UACGGGGGGGGCAAGCGUUGUUCGGAAUUACUGGGCGUAAAGGGUCUGUAGGUGGCCAACUAAGUCAUACGUGAAAUCCCUCAGCUUAACUGGGGAACUGCGUCUGAUACUGGUUGGCUUGAGUGCAGGAGAGGAACGCGGAAUUCCAGGUGUAGCGGUGAAAUGCGUAGAUAUCUGGAGGAAUACCGGUGGCGAAGGCGGCAUCCUGGACCGACAUUGACGCUGAACGGCGAAAGCUAGGGGAGCAAACGGG
rnacentral:rRNA from 1 species